rnacentral:rRNA from 1 species
AUUGAACGCUGGCGGCAGGCCUAACACAUGCAAGUCGAACGAGUGGCGGACGGGUGAGUAAUGUCUGGGAAACUGCCUGAUGGCGGGGGAUAACUACUGGAAACGGUAGCUAAUACCGCAUACCAUCGGAUGUGCCCAGAUGGGAUUAGCUAGUAGGUGGGGUAACGGCUCACCUAGGCGAAGAUCCCUAGCUGGUCUUAGAGGAUGACCAGCCACACUGGAACGGAGACACGGGCCAGACUCCUACGGGAGGCAGCAGUGGGGAAUAUUGCACAAUGGGCGCAAGCCUGAUGCAGCCAUGCCGCGUGGGUGAAGAAGGCCUUCGGGUGGUAAAGCACUUUCAGCGGGGAGGCGUUACCCGCAGAAGAAGCACCGGCUAACUCCGUGCCAGCAGCCGCGGUAAUUC